rnacentral:rRNA from 1 species
ACGUAGGGUGCGAGCGUUAAUCGGAAUUACUGGGCGUAAAGCGUGCGCAGGCGGUUUUGUAAGUCAGAUGUGAAAUCCCCGGGCUCAACCUGGGGACGGCAUUUGAGACUGCAAGGCUAGAGUGUGGCAGAGGAGGGUGGAAUUCCACGUGUAGCAGUGAAAUGCGUAGAGAUGCGGAGGAAUACCGAUGGCGAAGGCAGCCCCCUGGACCAAUACUGACGCUCAUGCACGAAAGCGUGGGGAGCAAACAG